UGACAGAGGAGCCUGCUCCUCUAGAUUCAGCGGCGGACGGGUGAGUAACACGUGGGCAACCUGCCCUGUAGAUUGGGAUAACUCCGGGAAACCGGGGCUAAUACCGAAUAAUCCUUCGGACCUCAUGGUCCGAUGUUGAAAGACGGCAUCUCGCUGUCACUACAGGAUGGGCCCGCGGCGCAUUAGCUAGUUGGUGAGGUAACGGCUCACCAAGGCCACGAUGCGUAGCCGACCUGAGAGGGUGAUCGGCCACACUGGGACUGAGACACGGCCCAGACUCCUACGGGAGGCAGCAGUAGGGAAUCUUCCACAAUGGACGAAAGUCUGAUGGAGCAACGCCGCGUGAGUGAAGAAGGUUCUCGGAUCGUAAAACUCUGUUGUGAGGGAAGAACAAGUACCGGAGUAACUGCCGGUACCUUGACGGUACCUCAUUAGAAAGCCACGGCUAACUACGUGCCAGCAGCCGCGGUAAUACGUAGGUGGCAAGCGUUGCCCGGAAUCAUUGGGCGUAAAGCGCGCGCAGGCGGUCCCUUAAGUCUGAUGUGAAAGCCCACGGCUCAACCGUGGAGGGUCAUUGGAAACUGGGGGACUUGAGUGCAGAAGAGGAAAGCGGAAUUCCAAGUGUAGCGGUGAAAUGCGUAGAGAUUUGGAGGAACACCAGUGGCGAAGGCGGCUUUCUGGUCUGUAACUGACGCUGAGG
rnacentral:rRNA from 1 species